ACCAGACUCCUACGGGAGGCAGCAGUGGGGGAUAUUGCACAAUGGGGGAAACCCUGAUGCAGCGACGCCGCGUGAGGGAAGGCGGUCUUCGGAUUGUAAACCUCUGUCUUUGGGGAAGAAAAUGACGGUACCCAAAGAGGAAGCUCCGGCUAACUACGUGCCAGCAGCCGCGGUAAUACGUAGGGAGCGAGCGUUGUCCGGAAUUACUGGGUGUAAAGGGAGCGUAGGCGGGCGAGAAAGUUGAAUGUUAAAUCUACCGGCUUAACUGGUAGCUGCGUUCAAAACUUCUUGUCUUGAGUGAAGUAGAGGCAGGCGGAAUUCCUAGUGUAGCGGUGAAAUGCGUAGAUAUUAGGAGGAAUACCAGUGGCGAAGGCGGCCUGCUGGGCUUUAACUGACGCUGAGGCUCGAAAGCGUGGGGAGCAAACAGGAUUAGAUACCCUGGUAAAG
rnacentral:rRNA from 1 species